GCGUAUAUCAAACAAGUCAAAUUUAUUGGGCCACAAAUCUCAUUCGGAAUCACAUACUAUUCACCACAUACCAUGGCGUAUAUCAAACAAGGCAAAUUUAUUGAGCAUCACAAAACACUUCAGGUUUCAGGUCGGCUGCAAGACGCUGCAGGCUUUGCAGUUGCCACGCAUUCGCUGGCAUUCAAGCAGCUAGAACUAUAGUUACAGACUUGCGGGUAGAGAAGUCGAUAAUGGCUUCAAAACAGAACAAAGGUUUCUAACCACAAUAUAGAACUGACUUGAUCACGCGUUCUGCAAGCUACUUAUAUAGUGCAUACCAGAGAGAGUAAACGUUUCUGAUGAUUUGCUAGGUUGUUCGCAACACUAGCGCAAAGGAGACGAUUUACAUGCUGUUUCAGUUAUCUAACACACCUUCAGUAGGCUUGUGAAUUGUACUCCAUUUGAAACAGCUCAGCGGCCACAACUAAUCAUACUUUCUUCGUUUCGGUGCCGCCACGUCAGGUCACUGAAGCUGGGUGUAUCAAUAUGGCCGCGGUGGAUAAGCU
rnacentral:rRNA from 1 species